GACCUGGUAGCUCAACGGCCAGAGCACUCGCGUGACGUGCGAGGGGUUGGUGGUUCGAAUCCGCCCUGGGUCA
rnacentral:tRNA from 1 species